GGCACUGCUUAUGAGAGACAGCAGAUAUACACUUUGGGUUACACAAGUGACAUCCAAGCUGUGAAGCAAGUAUCCUGGUCUUGGUUUUUCCAGUUGAGAAACAAGCUGAUAGGUGCCUACACCCCAACUUCCAGGCUACAUAACUUGCUUUUCCAGUCAGACCUGAAAGUACAACAGGAAAAGUGGUUUCAAGCUAUACAGAGUUCAGAUGUGACUGCAGUACGAACUUGGAGCUGCCAUCUGGGGAGACCACGCCAAAUAUGUACAGCACUUAGGUCUCUAAGAUCAGUUCAAGGCAAGAAGAAACAUACUGUUGUGCUCCUCCUGGAAAACCCCUUCCAACUCCCCUACACUUCAGAAAAAGAGAUAUUCUACAAUUCUUGAUUCCAUGAAUUUUGUUGGUGCUCCAUGUGAAUCAUCACUUGCAUUCAGCUCACUGCCCUGAGAGCGAAGAGAGAGAUGGCACCGAGCAUAAAGAAAGCUGCACGCAAAGAAGAAGUCACCAUACUGGAAGAAAGCACUUGAAAUCACGUAGCAAAAUUAUGUCCCCAUGGGUUGAUGCUCUGGAUACAUUCACAGAAGAGAAAGGGUAAAAUCUGUCUAGGAUUACUCAGCAAAUUUGAUUCCAUCUUUCUGAAGCUCUCUCUGAUAAGAAGACAUCUGCUUCUCCUCACUGCUCUGACAUUUUGUCUUGAAUACAUCCAUUCAUAGCAGACAUUUACAGUAUCACAUCACUGUAAUAGUCACUGAGAAUUCAAACAAAUGUC
ensembl:lncRNA